AUUGAACGCUGGCGGCAGGCCUAACACAUGCAAGUCGAGCGAGCGGCGGACGGGUGAGUAAUGUAUGGGGACUGCUCGAUAGAGGGGGAUAACUACUGGAAACGGUGGCUAAUAACGCAUACUAUCGGAUAACCCAUAUGGGAGUGGCUAGUAGGUGGGGUAAAGGCUCACCUAGGCGACGAUCUCUAGCUGGUCUGAGAGGAUGAUCAGCAAAACUGGGACUGUGAAACGGCCCAGACUCCUACGGAGGCAGCAGGGGGGAAUAGUGCGCAAUGGGCGAAAGCCUGAUGCAGCCAUGCCGCGUGUAUGAAGAAGGCCUUAGGGUUGUAAAGUACUUUCAGCGGGGAGGCGUUACCCGCAGAAGAAGCACCGGCUAACUCCGUGCCAGCAGCCGCGGUAAUUC
rnacentral:rRNA from 1 species